rnacentral:rRNA from 1 species
UACAGAGGGUGCGAGCGUUGUCCGGAAUCACUGGGCGUAAAGGGCGUGUAGGCGGAUCGGUAAGUCUACUCUGAAAGCUCCUGGCUAAACUGGGAGAGGCGAGUGGAGACUGUCGGUCUAGAGUGAGGAAGGGGAAAGUGGAAUUCCGCGUGUAGUGGUGAAAUGCGUAGAGAUGCGGAGGAACACCAGUGGCGAAAGCGGCUUUCUGGUCCUUAACUGACGCUGAGGCGCGAAAGCAUGGGGAGCGAACGGG